rnacentral:rRNA from 1 species
GACGAACGCUGGCGGCGUGCCUAAUACAUGCAAGUCGAACGGAAAGGCCUCUUUCGGGGGGUACUCGAGUGGCGAACGGGUGAGUAAAACGCGAGUAAACUGCCCUUGUCAUUGGGAGAACUUCAGGAAACAGGGGCUAAUACAGGAUAGGAGAUCCUGCAGCACGGUGGGGGUUGGUAAGAUUCGGCGGUUGGGGAUGGACUCGCGGCUUAUCAGCUUGUUGGUGGGGUAGUGGCUUACCAAGGCUUUGACGGGUAGCCGACCUGAGAGGGUGACCGGCGACAUUGGGACUGAGAUACGGCGCAGACGCGUACGGGAGGCAGCAGUGGGGAAUAUUACACAGUGAGUGGGAGCCUGAGGCGGCGGCGCCGGGGGCGGGAUGACGGGUUUCGAGUUGAGAACCGCUUUCGCUCAUGACGAAGCUUUGUGUGACGGUAGUGGGUAAAGAAGCACCGGCUAACUACGUG